UACGGAGGGGGCUAGCGUUGUUCGGAAUUACUGGGCGUAAAGCGCACGUAGGCGGCUUUGUAAGUUAGAGGUGAAAGCCCAGGGCUUAACCCUGGAAUUGCCUUUAAGACUGCAUCGCUAGAAUCGUGGAGAGGUGAGUGGAAUUCCGAGUGUAGAGGUGAAAUUCGUAGAUAUUCGGAAGAACACCAGUGGCGAAGGCGACUCACUGGACACGUAUUGACGCUGACGGUGUGAAAGCG
rnacentral:rRNA from 1 species